rnacentral:rRNA from 1 species
GACGAACGCUGGCGGCGCGCUUAACACAUGCAAGUCGAACGGAAAGGCCUGCUUUCCCUUGUGGUUUGCGGGUACUCGAGUGGCGAACGGGUGAGUAACACGUGAGUGAUCUGCCCCCAACUUGGGUAUAAGCCUGGGAAACUGGGUCUAAUUCCCGAUAGGACUGCAGGGUGGUGCCUGUGGUGGAAAACGAUUUUCUAGUGGUUGGGGAUGAGCUCGCGGCCUAUCAGCUUGUUGGUGGGGUAAUGGCCUACCAAGGCGGCGACGGGUAGCCGGCCUGUGAGGGUGGACGGCGACAUUGGGACUGGGAUACGGCCCAGACGGCUACGGGAGGCAGCAGUGGGGAAGAUUGCACCAUGGGCGGAAGCCUGAUGCAGCGACGCCGCGUGGGGGAUGACGGCCUUCGGGUUGUAAACUCCUUUCGACCGCGAGGAAGCCACCUGGUUGGAAGGGUGGUGACGGUAGUGGUAGAAGAAGCACCGGCUAACUACGUG